rnacentral:rRNA from 1 species
AGUGAACGCUGGCGGUAGGCCUAACACAUGCUAGUCGAACGGCAGCACAGUAAGAGCUUGCUCUUACGGGUGGCGAGUGGCGGACGGGUGAGGAAUACAUCGGAAUCUACUUUUUCGUGGGGGAUAACGUAGGGAAACUUACGCUAAUACCGCAUACGACCUACGGGUGAAAGCAGGGGAUCUUCGGACCUUGCGCGAUUGAAUGAGCCGAUGUCGGAUUAGCUAGUUGGCGGGGUAAAGGCCCACCAAGGCGACGAUCCGUAGCUGGUCUGAGAGGAUGAUCAGCCACACUGGAACUGAGACACGGUCCAGACUCCUACGGGAGGCAGCAGUGGGGAAUAUUGGACAAUGGGCGAAAGCCUGAUCCAGCCAUACCGCGUGGGUGAAGAAGGCCUUCGGGUUGUAAAGCCCUUUUGUUGGGAAAGAAAAGCAGCAGGUUAAUACCCCGCUGUUCUGACGGUACCCAAAGAAUAAGCACCGGCUAACUUCGUG